rnacentral:misc_RNA from 1 species
GAUGAAGAACGCAGCGAAAUGCGAUAAGUAGUGUGAAUUGCAGAAUUCAGUGAAUCAUCGAAUCUUUGAACGCACAUUGCGCCCUUUGGUAUUCCAAAGGGCAUGCCUGUUCGAGCGUCAUUUGUACCCUCAAGCUUUGCUUGGUGUUGGGCGUCUUGUCUCUAGCUUUGCUGGAGACUCGCCUUAAAGUAAUCGGCAGCCGGCCUACUGGUUUCGGAGCGCAGCACAAGUCGCACUCUCUAUCAGCAAAGGUCUAGCAUCCAUUAAGCCUUUUUUUCAACUUUUGACCUCGGAUCAGGUAGGGAUACCCGCUGAACUUAAGCAUAUCAAUAAGCGGAGGA